rnacentral:ncRNA from 2 species
AUCGUUCAUCUCUCUAAAAUUUAAUCUUCAGAGAGACGGAAGUAAGGAACAAGUUUCAACUCCUGAAGGAACGCGCC